rnacentral:rRNA from 1 species
UGGGGAAUUUUGGACAAUGGGGGCAACCCUGAUCCAGCCAUUCCGCGUGAGUGAAGAAGGCCUUCGGGUUGUAAGGCUCUUUCGGCAGGAACGAAACGGCGAGCUCUAACAUAGCUCGCUAAUGACGGUACCUGAAGAAGAAGCACCGGCUAACUACGUGCCAGCAGCCGCGGUAAUACGUAGGGUGCGAGCGUUAAUCGGAAUUACUGGGCGUAAAGCGUGCGCAGGCGGUUGUGUAAGACAGGUGUGAAAUCCCCGGGCUUAACCUGGGAACUGCGCUUGUGACUGCACGGCUAGAGUAUGGCAGAGGGGGGUGGAAUUCCACGUGUAGCAGUGAAAUGCGUAGAGAUGUGGAGGAACACCGAUGGCGAAGGCAGCCCCCUGGGCCAAUACUGACGCUCAUGCACGAAAGCGUGGGGAGCAAACAGGAUUAGAUACCCUGGUAGUCCACGCCCUAAACGAUGUCGACUAGGUGUUCGGUGAGGAGACUCAUUGAGUACCGCAGCUAACGCGUGAAGUCGACCGCCUGGGGAGUACGGUCGCAAGAUUA